AACGAACGCUGGCGGCGUGCUUAACACAUGCAAGUCGUACGAGAAAGGGACUUCGGUCCUGAGUAGAGUGGCGCACGGGUGAGUAACACGUGGAUAAUCUGCCCAAUGGACCGGGAUAACACUUCGAAAGGGGUGCUAAUACCGGAUAAGCCCACGGGCUCUUUGGAGCUUGCGGGAAAAGGCGGGGACCUUCGGGCCUGCUGUCAUUGGAUGAGUCCGCGGCCCAUUAGCUAGUUGGUGGGGUAAUGGCCCACCAAGGCGACGAUGGGUAGCUGGUCUGAGAGGAUGAUCAGCCACACUGGAACUGAGACACGGUCCAGACUCCUACGGGAGGCAGCAGUGGGGAAUUUUGCGCAAUGGGGGCAACCCUGACGCAGCAACGCCGCGUGAGUGAUGAAGGCUUUCGGGUCGUAAAGCUCUGUCAGAGGGGAAGAAACCUCUGGAGGAUAAUACCCUUCAGAAUUGACGGUACCCUCAAAGGAAGCACCGGCUAACUCCGUG
rnacentral:rRNA from 1 species